GACGAACGCUGGCGGCGUGCUUAACACAUGCAAGUCGAACGAAGUGGCGAACGGGUGAGUAAUGCCUAGGAAUCUGCCUGGUAGUGGGGGAUAACGUCCGGAAACGGGCGCUAAUACCGCAUACUAUCAGAUGAGCCUAGGUCGGAUUAGCUAGUUGGUGGGGUAAAGGCCUACCAAGGCGACGAUCCGUAACUGGUCUGAGAGGGUGAUCAGUCACACUGGAACUGAGACACGGUCCAGACGCCUACGGGAGGCAGCAGUGGGGAAUAUUGGACAAUGGGCGAAAGCCUGAUCCAGCCAUGCCGCGUGUAUGAAGAAGGCCUUCGGGUUGUAAAGUACUUUCAGCGGGGAGGCGUUACCCGCAGAAGAAGCACCGGCUAACUCCGUGCCAGCAGCCGCGGUAAUUC
rnacentral:rRNA from 1 species